GUCCGCCUGCCCUGUGAUAAUUAUUUAACGGCCGCGGUAUUCUGACCGUGCAAAGGUAGCGCAAUCACUUGUCUCUUAAAUGGAGACCCGUAUGAAUGGCAUAACGAGGGCUAAUCUGUCUCCUUUCUCCGGUCAAUGAAAUUGAUCUCCCCGUGCAGAAGCGGGGAUAUAAGCAUAAGACGAGAAGACCCCAUGGAGCUUUAGGCAUAAACAGAUCAUGUUAAAAACCCCUUCCUAAUGGAAUUAACCUAGUGAAUGCUGUUAGACUGCCUUUGGUUGGGGCGACCACGGAGAAAAGAAAAUCCCCCGCGUAGAACGAGGCCAUUCCCCCCUCCCCCCAAGCGAGAGUGACAACUCCAACAAGCAGAAAUUCUGACUAAAUAUGACCCGGCAAAGCCGAUCAACGGACCGAGUUACCCUGGGGAUAACAGCGCAAUCCCCUUCUAGAGCCCCUAUCGACAAGAGGGUUUACGACCUCGAUGUUGGAUCAGGACAUCCUAAUGGCGCAGCCGCUAUUAAGGGUUCGUUUGUUCAACGAUUAAAGUCCUACGUGAUCUG
rnacentral:rRNA from 1 species